rnacentral:lncRNA from 1 species
GCCAGGGCUGGCAGCUGCCCAGCGCAGGCACCCAGCCCUGGGCAGCUCUGCAGGACAAAAUAAGCUCCCGUGUUCCCCUCCCAAGGCUUGGAGUCGGGCUGCCCAGGCAUGUUUGGCUGGGCUCGCUAUCUGCAUAGAGGAUGCCUCCUUGGUGGCCCUCUGACUCUCCUGCUGUCCAUAGCUAACAAAUGUUUUUAAUUUUAGAGGAACAUACUGGGAUCUGCAGAUCCGCCUUUUACAAGAAGAGGGCCAGGCAAAGAGAGAAGAUAUUAAGCCUGAAGUCAGUUGUUUUUUGUUGUUGUAGAUGGACACAAUAAUUUAUUAUUAUGUGAUGCUGAGGAUUGAACCUAAUGCCUCACACAUCCUAGGCAAGUGCUCUACCCCUGAACUACAACCCCAAUCCUGAUACCAGUCUUGAUGCUGGAGUGUCUAAACCUGUGAGUUCUUAGUGGACCUGGGCCCUAAGACACCCAGCCCCUGGCCCACCUGCUCAGCAGCCUGAAAUCCUAGAAGCAUCCUUAGCCCUCAGAUCCAUUCCUCCCAACAGAAGCCCCAGCCAUUUCUGAAAGCCUGGUGGACACCAUUCAGGGUUUUCUCUGGCCUGGGGAGAAGAUGAAUGGACGCCAUGCAUAGCCAGCUGUGCCCUGAUACCUGGGCAUGGCCACUCCCUGAAUGCUGUUCUCACGUGUGCACACACGAACAUUCAUGCAGUUUUGAGAGCAUGCUCCUUUUGUUUUUUGGUACCAGGGACUGAACUCGGGGGCACCACUGAGCCACAUCCCAGCC